UUUGGGCCAUGGUGGACAUUAUUAAAAGAGGAAUGAUUUAAUUAAGCUUUUCAUUCUGUCUAUGCGCCAGAGAUUGAGAAUUUGCUUGAGCAGAGUGUUGCUCCUGCCUGCUGCAAUAAACAUGAAUUCUUAUCACCUCCCUCCACUCGUGCAGCUUCACCUGGGAUGAAAAUCAAUGAUGUGUUAGAGAGGUAAACACUAAAUGCUUAUUAUUACAUGCUUACUGAACUGGAGACCAUUUACUUUUAAGUCUGCUCAACCACACUGGAGUCUCAUUUACAUUUUCCUUUAAAUACUCUGUUUAAAAUUCAUGUGAGUUUAUUUAAUGUAUUUUUUUUUAUAUAAGUGAUAUGUUCCCAAAGUUACACGCUCACUUAUCUAUCCUAACUAAAUUCUGCUCCAUACCCGGGGUUACCUAAAGAUAAAGUUGGCUGACUUUUCACUUGAAACUCAAUCACAGUUUCUGAUGAUACUCUUCAAACUUCCGCUUAAAGUUUCUACUCUUUUAAACCACUAGUGGGCACUGCAUCUGUAUCCCGCACAGCUGGAGGAGACAGUUAGAGCAGUGAGUUUCCCCAAAGGCAGAAGCCUGCCACAGAUCAAUCCUUUAUCUUCAUAUUGUGCUUUAUUCUGAAAACGCAAUGUGAAACACAACAAGGCUUUUUUAAUUAUCUUAACCUCUGCAUUUUGAGUCCCUCCCCAAGCCUAAGUCAAAGUAUAAAAUGGUUUGGUACAGUCUUAAGGAGAUAGAAGUAGUCAUAUGCAAAUGUCUUAUUAUUUUCAGAGGAAAAACUCUGAGGUUAAAGUUGGAGCAACAGCACAAAUGUCAGAUUUGCAGAAAGAGCUGUGAGUGCCCAAUUCUAACCUCAGGCCAGUAAAAACAUUGAUUUUGGCUGCUUUACAAGUUGCAAGUAAUUAAAAUAAGUGAGAAGCCUUUGGUUGUUCUGUCCAAUUUGAACUUUUCAGCACCAAAUAAAUCAUGUUCACAGAUUUCCAGUCAGUCUAGAUUCUGAAUGUGAGUUGUUGAUGUGAGGUUUUUGAAUGUCAAUGUGGUUUAAAGUGAAAAACUGACUCUGCUCAUUCAAACACCAUUUUCUUACAUUGUCCCCGUUGUAAUAAUCACAUACUCCUAUAUCCCCUCAGAGAAAACAAGCGAGUAAAAAUUGACACCCCCAUAUCAAGUCUGACCACAAGGUGGAACAGCUGAACCAGGAUCCUGUGGGUGGAAAAAUGAGUGGGGCUCAUGUCAAUGGAGUGUGGGAGAGAAAAACAUUUUGAUAAGGGGUUAAUGAAAAAGUCAAUGGAGUAAGAGAGUGUCAACAGACGGAGCGAGACAGCCUGAAACCUCAGGGAAUUCAGCUCGGCUGUAGACUUCCAGCCUCCCCGUGAAUCCUCCUCACUCCCUCUCGCCCUGCCGGGUCCUUCCUGUAUGCUCCACUGACAACCUGACCACGAAGGGUCAACACGCCUCAGUGAACUGAGCAAACUCCUCUUUCUCUCGCCACACAUGCAUUUAAGGUAUCGAUUCACAUGUUAGAGAAAAAAAAGGUUCUGCUGCUUCAGCUCCUUACAGAGCAGAUGAAGGGAUAGGUCAUGGAGCCAAAAUCCCACAAGUGAGCUCUCUUUUAUAUGUCAGUAUAUCCAGGUAAGUUUUCAGCUCUGGAGAAGAUUACUUGCUUUUAUAUAAACCUUUCUUUUCUUUAAAGGUGUUAUAUUUUCCUUUAGAAAGAAAGAUCAAAAGUUAGUCAUAAAAAUGUAUUUUGAAAGCUGCACUCGCAACAAAAAGACAAAGUAAGGAUGAACAACCCCAAAAAAAACACUGUCUUCAAGUAGCAUUAAGGAGAGGUUUUACAUUUUGGGAUUUACCUUUUUCUCUUUUCUGACAGAAGUUGCUUUUAUGUUUGUAAGGUAAACAUGGAGCUGAGCUGAUAGAAAGGUAACUUAGUUUAGCUUGAGAUGAAGGACCUGGGGAAAACAGCUAGCUUUACAGCGUAGUCACAAAAUCUGCCUACUAUCAUCUGCUAUGCUGUUCAGCUACUGCCCCAUAGUCGAGCCCCUGGUGUGCAGAAUAAGUGACAAGUCUUGAAAAUACUAACGCCUGAAAACAAUUGAAGGGGGUAGGUGUCAGCCAAGCCACAUGAAAUAUUCACAGUAAAUGAUAAAGUCAAAAGUCAGCAGAGUGAGAUUUUGCAUGUGCAUGUGUUGCACAAGAGGAGCAAAGACUGCUUUGUCCACAGGGGGCGCCAAAAAUGACACAAACUGAAAAUUCCUCACAGGAGCUUUAAUUGCACUAUGAAGUGACAAUAAUCUCCAGGGGGAAAAUGCUUAUGAGUCACUUCUAGCAUGUCAGAGCUUUAGUAUGUGAGUGGCUUGCCUCGGGGGCUGCAAACACACAUAACCCCCAUAAAUAUAUCAAAUCAUUUAUUUCUAAUAAAAAGGUAGAGUAUUGGUGAUUUGGUGAUUAAAUAGCAAGCUAUGGUUACUUUUGACAAAGCUAACCAGGCUAGCUGUUUCCUUGUUUACAACCCUUACGCUGCGGUAAGCUUACUACAAAUUCAUAUUAAGUGGAGUGGCAUCAAACUCUUCCUCAAACAUUUCUCAAAAAAGCAAAUUAGGUGAAAAUGUCAAACUCACACACAGUGUGCUGUUAUUCUGCACUAUGUCUCCUACCUGAUUUUUGGCUGAGAAACAAGUUGGUGUUAUUUAUUUUCCUUUAUCACUAUGACAACCGACAGCAGCCACUGCUGUUAUAUAUUCAGCCAGUGUGAUGUAUGCAAAAGGUUUUCCCUCUCUGUGUUGUUUUUUUUUUUUUUUUUUUUUUUUUCCAGCAAUGACAGCCAAAAACCGAAAAGCCUCCCCAGCGACACGCUCAUGUUGCUACCUCUCCACCCUUUCAUCCUACAGUCAUGUUGCCUCUGGAGCAAAGAAAUGCAUAUUUGGACGCUUACCAACCAUUUUCUCCUCCAGGAUAUAUUCCUCUGUUUAUGCAGCUACUCCUACCACACACACAAUUCACACAGACGCACAUGCACACAACCUCCUCCUGCACCAUUACCCUUCUACAUAAAUGCAACCGAACCCAGAAUUAUGGUCAGCUGCUUGUGAAGUUAGUUUUGCUUGGGUAAAACCAAGCUGCCAUCUUUAAUAUCAUAAUGCUCCCUAAUUAUAUGCUUCUAAUUGAGAACUGUUUGAUCACACUCUCUGGCAUCUGGAAAGCUAGCGUGUGACCUUAACAGGGUUUUUUUUUCUCAUCUCAUAAAUAUGAUCUUUGUUUCCGUCCCUGCAUAAAUGAAAGUAAACCUCUUUACACCAGGGAAAGACCUUCACCACCAGUCGACACCAGCAGCUCACUGUGGAUAUCUGUGAGGUAGGUCCAAAUCAUCUGCACAAAAGACAGCUGCAUGUCAGACCGACCGAGCAGCAGCAAAGCAGUAUAUCUAAAAACGAGGAUCAAAACCAAAUCUACAGAGAAUUAGGAGGAUUUGUGGCUGUGGGUCAUUUUUCUCUUUGGACAGUUUGUGCAGCAGAAAUAUGGUUUGAACAGACAACAUGGUAGGCCUGUAUGGACAAUAAAUCCUCUGAGACCACUGGCUCUAAAACUUUACGUCUAUGUCUCCUUUCAGAGCAGCUUUAAGUGCCCUUUUGCUUUAUUACAUAUGUAUGUGUUAUCUUACAAACGAGUACACAUAAAUUUGACAUUUUAAUAUGCAGUGAAUUCUGUAAGAGUUUUUUAUACUGUUGAGUAACCCAUGUUUUACUCAGUUAUCUUGAAAUUUUAGCUGGCCAGACUUUUCUGCUAACUAGUUUUCAUGCUACCUGCUAACAGUGUUUUUUGUCAGUAUAUAACAUCUGGUUUUGGUGACAUUAAUUGCAUGAGCAGUGAUUAAUGGGACUGAUGAUUAGAUAAGAUUUGAGGCCGUCCAAAUCUCAUCUAGUCAAAAUCUCCACAGAAACAUGAGUCGUGACUUCUCAGGCUUGGUGGACAAUACUGAAUUACUCCAAAAUCUUAGUACACUCGGUCUCUUUUCCUCCUUUGCUCACUGCUUUUGCAUUUUAAAAAAAUCCCAGGACUCCAAAGAUUUUCCACAUACUCAGUGAAUUUCAGUAGCACCCUCAUGGGUAUAACUUUGAAGAUCACUGAUUUAAACCUCUUCCAUCUCAUGAUUUUCUCCACUGAUCUAUCCAACAGGACAUUUACCACAAAUUUGCUUUGACAAGUAUUAUUCUAACAGGUGUUUAAUAAAGUUGAACAUUCCUGUGUUCCAACUGCUGUAAAAGCAAUUAGCCCCUGACACUUUAAAACCCCUGUGUCUCUUCCACAGAUCAGCAUUUCGAUCUUGAACGCAGCGCCCUCAGCAUCACAGUAGCGGCUGAAGUGUUUUUCGUCACUAAUAUACUCCUUAUGGUAAAGAAUUACAUACCAUAAAUCAACCAUAAGGACUGUCCACCUUCUUGUAAAGCUUGUGUUUGUUGAAAUUGGCUCAUAGCUCCAGUCCUACAUGGAUCUAGAAGCCUCAUUACGACCACAUAAAAGCCCAUUACUUUGCUCUGCCCACAGGGAACAACACCUUCUUCUUCAUUAACCGGCGAAUAAAAGCUGUUACCCACAGUUUCCAUUACUUUGUACUGUACAACAUAAUGGGGAAUAACUCACCAAUUGACUAAUUUUCAACAGAUUUCCCCCCCUAACACAUCCAGUCCUCAUGCACAAUGGCCUAGCAUUAGGUCUAAUAGUUAUGUAUUUAAAGAAAAUUUACUGCUAUACAACACUUUCUCUCAACACUUGCCCUCAAUAAUUCUGUGUAGCCGUUUACUGAUCCCCACACAGUUUAGCUGCUCCAACUAUGAAUUCCUCCUUUCUCACCUUGUUUUAACUCAAACACAGUCUCCUCCUCAUACGCAGCCAGCCAGAUGUUUGGGCUGGAAGUUCUCCACAGAGGAGGGCCUCAGUGGCAUGCAUGCUUGUUAUUUAUCUAAAUUGUAUUUUCUCUUUAACAGCAUUUUUUCCCUGUCUUUCUGCUCACAGGGGUGGUUUACUUUAGCCCCAAAG
rnacentral:lncRNA from 1 species